CCAACGGUUUUUUUCAUUCAGCUAUAAAAAUAAAACGGAUGCAAUAAGAAUAAAAGUAUUAUUCAUACGAAUUCCGGUUUGGAAUUAACGCAACAGAAAAUGUGUCGUGCGUUAUUGGUUGUAUCGCUUCCCAAGAGGACUUCAAAUUGUUAAAUGAAACCUGAAGAAGAACAGCCUCUAGAUGGUAUGGUACCACAGCCUGAAGACUUUCACUGCUGGACAAAGGCUUCCGCCAAAGAUGGCCAUGACAAUCGGUCCUGAGCUGCCCUCAUCUAACAUAUUCCGGCGAUCUUUACCAGAUCGUCGGUCCAUCUUGUGGAGGCCUACCAACGUGGUCGUCAUUCGAGGACACUUCUGCCUCAACGACCAUCUGUCUGUCGAGCUAUGUGCCCUACCCACAGCCACUUCAGUUUUGUAAUGCAGUAUAUCUCAAGAGUGCGACGCGGAAUUGGAAUCCAUUUUCGACACGCCUCGGAAGUCUGCACUGUGGAAACAACUAGUCUAAUAAAUCUUGCUAAACGCAAACAACAAAUAACUAUAUUUACAAAUACUAUGACUUCAUAAAAUUAAAACUAUCAUUACGUGGAAGCGUACCAAGAAUACUGGCAGCAUUUCCGCGUUGGAUAGCUAGGCUGAUCCAUUGACCGAAAUAGCUGCCAGCGCUUGGGUUUCCAGUAGCCUUAUUAAGGCGCGAAGAUAGUACUUUGUACCUAUAUUCUCCGCGCCUCUGAGCCCAACGGGCCAAUUAUUGUUUUGAUUAAAUUUUUAAUUUAUA